rnacentral:lncRNA from 1 species
GCUCAGAACCACUGCAUCUCCUGGCUUGUGGAGAUGUUGAAGAAAAAGCUUGAUGUUUUAUUGAAUAGAAUUCAGACAAUUGAAAAGAUAAGCGGGAACACACACACACACACACACACACAUAUAUAUAUAUAUAUAUAUAUAUAUAUAUAUAUGCUCUACCCAAGAUGUGGAGUGGGAGGAAUUUAAGACUGGCAACAAGCAAGCUCCUAUUCAGACAUUCGUGCUUGGUGCCGAUGACCAGGAAACAGUAAAAAAUAGUCCCAGGAUGCUGAUGGGUAUGAAUUACACUGAAAACAUCACUUACCUGGAUGGAAAAGGCAUCGUCUUCACUGGAAGAUGGGGGCUGCAGAUUGUACACCUCAGUAGGACAGAGUCCUUAGGGUACACUUUUCAUCCCAAGGAUUCGCCUUCCCUGAGAACAAGGCUGUGUUCGGCAUCCCAGUUUAAGGGUGUUGAUGUCUUGCUCAUGUCCCCAAUACCCAAGUAUGUAGGGGAACUUUGGGAAUUCUUCUUGAGAACUAGAUACAAAAGAGAGAGAGAGCGAGAGAGAGCAAGAGAGAGAGCAAGAGAGAGAGAGAGAGAGAGAGAGAGAGAGAGUCUCUGCUUUGGUCUCCAGACUUGCCCAAGCUUGAAAACAAGGUAUCAUUUUGUUGCUUUGAAAAAUUCGUAUAACGAGAGACUUCCCACACUAGAAACCAUUUUGGAAACAAGAAGACUUGCAGCGUGCCACUUGCUUCGUAGCGCUGGCCAAUGUUGGAAAUCCAGAAAAGAAAAAGGCUCUUUAUGCAUUCAGUACUAUUCUCAUGAGGCUGAUGGCUGGAGCGGAGCUGGUAAGCAGCCUCCCGGUGUCCCUGAGAACCCCUCCGGAGAAUCUAGGAAGCACGCAGCUAGAGAACAAAUCCUUGCCCCUCGAGGAAGAGCCAGCCAGCCUGUCAGUGUGUGCGAUUUGAAUGAAAAGCAGGUAAGGAAAAAAUCAUCCACAGGAAGGGAUAACAAGCCUCCAACAGGUCUUUCCAUCUUGCCUGCGAGCCCUGAAGUCCAAAAACAUCUGGUGGUCAUCACUGGCACACAUUUCUACCUUGCCCUGGCCAAAGGAGGCUUCUCUGAUGACCCAUCCCGCCUACUGUACACUACCGGUCAGUUUCGGAGCUUUCGGCCGAGGUGGCGGAAGACGACGUGGAGAAGUCUAAGGUUACUCUGAAACGCUUCUUUAAGAGUCAAGAAAUGAUAGGAGCCAUCGCCUCCAGCUUCUGGUCAUUUCUGUGCCCCUCAGCUGCCGUGUGACAGAUGACAUUAAAGAUGCCUUCAUCUCCCAGACACAGGAGCAGCAGAUAGAACUGUUGGAAUUACAGAGCCCUGGGACGUCAGAUUGCCCGGCCUGAAGCAGCACAUUUUUUAUGUUGAACUUGACAUAGGAGAAAAAAUUUUCCACAGAAUUAAAAAGAAGUUUCCUUUGCAAAUUGGAAGGGUGGCCCUGGGCAGUGAGGCUAGUCUCGUCAUUCCUGAGAAAGCUGACCGGAGACAUGGUCAAACCAGUAAGGAAGAGGAGGAGGCCCGGCUUGCCACUUCCAGAAGACUUUGAGCUCUCUGACUUUGGACGAUUAA